GCCAGGCGCCGUGGCGCCCGCCUGUAAUCCCAGCAGCUCAGGAGGCUGAAGUAGGAGGAUCGUGAAUUCAAAGCCAGCCUCAGCAAUGAUGAGGCACUGAGCAACUCAGUGAGACCCUAUCUCUA
rnacentral:sRNA from 1 species